rnacentral:rRNA from 1 species
CCUACGGGAGGCAGCAGUAGGGAAUAUUGGUCAAUGGUGGAAACCCUGAAGCAGCAACGCCGCGUGGAGGAUGAAGGUUUUAGGAUUGUAAUCUCCCUUUGUUAGAGAAGCUAAUGACGGUAUCCAACGACUAAGCACCGGCUAACUACGUGCCAGCAGCCGUGGUAAUACGGAGGGUGCCAGCGUUACUCGGAAUCACUGGGCGUAAAGAGUGCGUAGGCGGGGUAAUAAGUCAGAUGUGAAACCCUGUAGCUUAACUACAGAACUGCAUUUGAAACUGGUACUCUGGAGUGGGAGAGAGGUAGGUGGAAUGCGUGGUGUAGGGGUAAAAUCCAUAGAGAUCAAGAGGAAUACUCAUUGCGAAGGCGACCUGCCGGAACAUUACUGACGCUGAUGCACGAAAGCGUGGGGAGCGAACAGGAUUAGAUACCCUGGUAGUC